UUGUAGCUGGAAGCUUCCCAUGAAAAAGGGGUUCCCCCCAAACACGAGAAAACGCUCCACUGUUAUUAUUUAAAACUAUCUAAACUAUUUAAAGCGACCCUCCCGCCUCCGGAUGAACUGCGCGAAGCGAGGGGGUCGUUCAUUCCCUCACUCCACCCCGGACUGAAAUGGGCCGAUCGCAGCAGCCUUGGAGAAGUUUUCCAUCACGAUUUAGGUCGCUCAGAUUAAGGGUGUGUUCUUUGUCUGAGUGUCUCCCGGGUGCAGACCUCAGCCAGCGACAGUAAAAUGGAGAAUUCCCGCCUUGGGUAUUCACAAGCGCAACAUACAUAACCCUUUAUCUCCGGCGGGGCUCGAAGCUUUGGGGCCUUUGGCGGGUGGAUGUGUACAGGAUCCAUAGUGAUUGCAUGCAAGUGUUCUCAACGGACUCGCAAACCCUUUGAUCAAACCAGCUAAACUUGAUUUUCCAGAUUAUUCAAGAGACAAGGCACACAUCUAUGGGCUUUACAAGUCCUGGCAAGCAAUCAAGACCCCGCGCGCGCCCCCACUCCCUUCAUCAGAAUCAAAGGUAAACAGGGAGCCGGUUCGCACUUAAAUACGCAGCCGCAUCGGGAUCUUGCCUGGACUUCCACAGUUGUAGCACCAGAAGGAAAACAACAGGCGAAGUAAGAAAAAGGUUUCCUUGGCGAGGAUGCCAAACUAAAUAAUGACACCCAAAGCCAAAACAUGCCUCACUGAAACUCAACUUCAGUCAAUUCAGCCUGCUGAAAACAAAGCUUUUUUUGUGAUUUCAAAAGUGAACAUUGUACUUUCCUCUGGCAGCCAUUUCUGGGUUUUUGAAUGAUCCGAUUAUGCAUAAAUCCCCGGCCUCCAGGUCUUUCAGCACCUCGAUCCCAACAAGUUGAUGAGGGCUGCCUUCCCCACUGGGACCAUGCAGGUGUGAGUGACAAGCGUGGUAAAGCCAGAAAGGACACUUUUUAUCCGGGCAGAUGCUCCUUGGGGGCUGCAGCAAGUGCAAGAGUCUCUGGAUAAGGCCAGAAAUUUUCUUUCUUCUUUCCCCUCCCUCUUUUAUUGAAGGUGAGAGAUACUGAAUUGUCAACUGUGUUUUAUGAUGGAGUGCCUUCCAUGAAGGACCUCAGUGCACCUUGCAAAUGUCAUGAGUCAUCAGAGCCCUUAUAAUGGAGGGAAGUAUCCGUGGUCACAAUUUUAUGGUUAAAGCAGCACAGGGAAGAGAUCUUGACAAACACUAGAGACUCAUCAACUGCAGUGAAUUCCCUCAGUGAAAUCGCUCUCCUCUGCCAAGAAUCAAAGGUCAUCCCAGUGGAGUGCCGUCUUCGUGUUCAGCCGCUACGGAGUGUCUGGAACAGAGUGAGAACAAAAAUUAUCCUCGUUCCGUGCCCCCUGACUCUUUCGGGAAGAAUCCCAACCAAGCUGCCACUGGGAAUUCAGAGAACACAUUGGAAGACUGGGGAAGGGCCAGCCUAAACAGGGGAGAACGGUGAUGUAGAGACAAUAAGAUAAAGAAAAUAAAUGACUCAAAGAGAAGUUUUAAGCCAAUAUUUACACCCAUAUUGCCAUAUUUACAGCUUAAACACCAUGCCCCGAACAUGCAGGAAGUAAAUUUUUAUGAGUCUCUUAAUGAAUGUUAAGUCAAUAAUAUCCCAAACAAUGGGCCCCAGUGAACUUUCUUAUGAAGGCCAUACAGUGAGUUAUUCAAAUGUAGUCAGAGUCCAUUGAACUCUGUCAUGCAUAUAUUUAGAAGAGGGAUUUUCAAAUUCGCCUUUUUUGAUAUGACAGAAAGCUUUGUAGACCGUGACAUAGAAUUAGAAGAAAUUAUUAAAAGAAAGCAUGACGUAGAAUUAGGAGAUUCCCCCAGGCCCUGACUAAAAACAUCCACAUAGCAGAAUUUAUGGCCAACAGAAGCAAUGGUCAAAGAGCAGGUGCCAUCAUCCACCACCAUCACCAGAGAAUAAGGACCCACACAGAUAAAACUAAUUAAGGGUCUGAUGAGCAAGAUCAUGUGCACCCUGGAAAAGGCCGAUGGCAGCCAGACAACUGAGCAGAUAGAGAGGAGUUUAUCAAUUGCUUGGUUCGUGUAAUCAGGAACUGCUUUUUCUCCCUUUUUGGUCUCAGAUAUUUGACCAUACUGGCUGACUGGCAUGUCGAGAUGAAGGCUUGGUAAGGAAGAAACACUCUGAGCUCAUAAAACACAAGCCCGGCCAAACUACCACUGAACCCUUUGAUCUCACUGAGAUGCUCAGAGAGAGCACUUCUAAAACUUUCAUUUAUUUUUUGGGUGCCCCAUUGUUCAGUGUCCUCUGGUUGCAUUUAGAACCAUAAUAGCAAGUGACAGUCCUGCCAGUCUUUCUGAAGAUGUCAAGGACCGUGCCAAACCAACCUCCUUUUAACACAUU